GGAAAGGUGGCUGAGCUGGUCUAAGGCGCACGACUGGAAAUCGUGUGUACCCUGAUACGGUACCGUGGGUUCGAAUCCCACCCUUUCCGCCA
rnacentral:tRNA from 1 species